GAUGAAGAACGUAGCGAAAUGCGAUACUUGGUGUGAAUUGCAGAAUCCCGUGAACCAUCGAGUCUUUGAACGCAAGUUGCGCCCGAAGCCAUUAGGCCGAGGGCACACCUGCCUGGGCGUCACACGUCGUUGCCCCCCCAUCUACUCCUUCGGGAUUGCGGGGGGCGGAUGAUGGCCUCUCGUGCGCCUCGUCGCGCGGUUGGCCUAAAUGCCAAGUCCUCGGCGACGCACGCCACGACAAUCGGUGGUUGCGAAACCUCGGUUGCCUGUCGUGUGCGGUCGUCGCGCAUCGAGGGCUCGAAAAAAUUGCCGGGCUUCGGCUCGACUUUCAACGCGACCCCAGGUCAGGCGGGGUUACCCGCUGAAUUUAAGCAUAUCAAUAAGCGGAGGA
rnacentral:misc_RNA from 1 species